rnacentral:rRNA from 1 species
GAUGAACGCUAGCGGCAGGCUUAACACAUGCAAGUCGAGGGGUAUAGGGAGCUUGCUUCCUAGAGACCGGCGCACGGGUGCGUAACGCGUAUGCAAUCUACCUUUUGCAGAGGAUAGCCCAGAGAAAUUUGGAUUAAUACCUCAUAGUAUAGCAGUUUCGCAUGAAACCACUAUUAAAGUCACAACGGCAAAAGAUGAGCAUGCGUCCCAUUAGCUUGUUGGUAAGGUAACGGCUUACCAAGGCAACGAUGGGUAGGGGUCCUGAGAGGGAGAUCCCCCACACUGGUACUGAGACACGGACCAGACUCCUACGGGAGGCAGCAGUGAGGAAUAUUGGACAAUGGGCGCAAGCCUGAUCCAGCCAUGCCGCGUGCAGGAAGAAGGUCCUAUGGAUUGUAAACUGCUUUUAUACAGGAAGAAACACUCCCUCGUGAGGGAACUUGACGGUACUGUAUGAAUAAGGACCGGCUAACUCCGUGCCAGCA